rnacentral:rRNA from 1 species
GCUGAAACAUAAACUACACAAAAAUCCAUAAACAAUAAAACAAACCAUUUGAUAAACCAAGUAGAUGUGAUCGAACAGCAAACACACAAAUUGUACCGUAAGGGAAAGAAAUCAAGUAAAAAAUAGCAAAGAUAAACCCCUGUACCUUUUGCAUCAUGGUUUAGCAAGUAAAUCAAGGACAAGAAGAAUCAAAGCCCACAUCCCCGAAACCAGAUGAGCUACUUUAAAGCAGCUCAUCGGGCUUACCCUUCUCUGUGGCAAAAGAGUGGGAAGACUUAAAAGUAGAAGUGAAACGCUUACCGAAUCUGGAGAUAGCUGGCUACCUAAUAAAGGAAUAUAAGUUCCACUUUAGACCACACACAUACACAAUUAUUAUCUAAAGAUAAUCAAUAGGGGUACAGCUCUAUUGAAACAGGAAACAACCUGAAUUUGAGAAAAAACAUUACCGCACAACCAGUAGGCCUUAAAGCAGCCACCAAAAAAAAUAUCGUUAAAGAAUUUACAUUAAAAACCCCAAAACCAAUCAGAAACUCCAAACAGACUAAAGGUAAAUCCAUAAUAAUGAAUACCAUUAUGCUAAAACUAAUAAUAAGAACCAUUCUCUACACGCACCUAUCCACUAGAAACGGAUAAACCACUAGCCAUUAACAGACCACAAUAGGCACCAAACAAACAAUACCCACCUCUACACAAACUGUGACCCCAACACAGGUGCGUUAAAAAGAAGAUUAACCAUUAUAAAAGGAACUCGGCAACCAAAAACCCCAACUGUUUAACAAAAACAUAACCUUUAGCCAAACAAAUAUUAAAGGCAACGCCUGCCCAGUGAACAAUUAAACGGCCGCGGUACCCUAACCGUGCAAAGGUAGCAUAAUCAUUUGUCUAUUAACUGUAGACCUGUAUGAAAGGCAAAAUGAGGGUUUAACUGUCUCUUAUAAUAAAUCUAUUAAACUGAUCUACUAGUAAAAAAGCUAGAAUGCACACAUAAGACCAGAAGACCCUGUGAAGCUUAAACUAAACUAUUAAACCCAAUAAUAAUUACUUUCGGUUGGGGCGACCUUGGAAACAAGAAGAACUUCCAAAUCACGUGAUUUCCACACAUACUUAAGGCCCACAAGCCAAUACACGACCCAGUACUACUGACAAUUGAACAAAGUUACUCCAGGGAUAACAGCGCCAUCUUCUUCAAGAGCCCAUAUCAAAAAGAAGGUUUACGACCUCGAUGUUGGAUCAGGACAUCCUAAUGGUGCAGCCGCUAUUAAGGGUUCGUUUGUUCAACGACUAAUGUCCUACGUGAUCUGAGUUCAGACCGGAGCAAUCCAGGUCGGUUUCUAUCUAUGAUACAUUAUCUCCAGUACGAAAGGACCGACAUAAUAAAGCCUAUACUACAAAUAUGCUUUUACAAUAAAUAACAAUCAAAAUUACCACUUCUAACCUAAACCAAGACAAGGUUAA